GGGUUGUGAGGUUAAGCGACUAAGCGUACACGGUGGAUGCCCUGGCAGUCAGAGGCGAUGAAGGACGUGCUAAUCUGCGAUAAGCGUCGGUAAGGUGAUAUGAACCGUUAUAACCGGCGAUUUCCGAAUGGGGAAACCCAGUGUGAUUCGUCACACUAUCAUUAACUGAAUCCAUAGGUUAAUGAGGCGAACCGGGGGAACUGAAACAUCUAAGUACCCCGAGGAAAAGAAAUCAACCGAGAUUCCCCCAGUAGCGGCGAGCGAACGGGGAGCAGCCCAGAGCCUGAAUCAGUGUGUGUGUUAGUGGAAGCGUCUGGAAAGGCGUGCGAUACAGGGUGACAGCCCCGUACACAAAAAUGCACAUGCUGUGAGCUCGAUGAGUAGGGCGGGACACGUGGUAUCCUGUCUGAAUAUGGGGGGACCAUCCUCCAAGGCUAAAUACUCCUGACUGACCGAUAGUGAACCAGUACCGUGAGGGAAAGGCGAAAAGAACCCCGGCGAGGGGAGUGAAAAAGAACCUGAAACCGUGUACGUACAAGCAGUGGGAGCACAGAGCAAUCUGUGUGACUGCGUACCUUUUGUAUAAUGGGUCAGCGACUUAUAUUCUGUAGCAAGGUUAACCGAAUAGGGGAGCCGAAGGGAAACCGAGUCUUAACUGGGCGUUAAGUUGCAGGGUAUAGACCCGAAACCCGGUGAUCUAGCCAUGGGCAGGUUGAAGGUUGGGUAACACUAACUGGAGGACCGAACCGACUAAUGUUGAAAAAUUAGCGGAUGACUUGUGGCUGGGGGUGAAAGGCCAAUCAAACCGGGAGAUAGCUGGUUCUCCCCGAAAGCUAUUUAGGUAGCGCCUCGUGAAUUCAUCUCCGGGGGUAGAGCACUGUUUCGGCAAGGGGGUCAUCCCGACUUACCAACCCGAUGCAAACUGCGAAUACCGGAGAAUGUUAUCACGGGAGACACACGGCGGGUGCUAACGUCCGUCGUGAAGAGGGAAACAACCCAGACCGCCAGCUAAGGUCCCAAAGUCAUGGUUAAGUGGGAAACGAUGUGGGAAGGCCCAGACAGCCAGGAUGUUGGCUUAGAAGCAGCCAUCAUUUAAAGAAAGCGUAAUAGCUCACUGGUCGAGUCGGCCUGCGCGGAAGAUGUAACGGGGCUAAACCAUGCACCGAAGCUGCGGCAGCGACACUAUGUGUUGUUGGGUAGGGGAGCGUUCUGUAAGCCUGCGAAGGUGUGCUGUGAGGCAUGCUGGAGGUAUCAGAAGUGCGAAUGCUGACAUAAGUAACGAUAAAGCGGGUGAAAAGCCCGCUCGCCGGAAGACCAAGGGUUCCUGUCCAACGUUAAUCGGGGCAGGGUGAGUCGACCCCUAAGGCGAGGCCGAAAGGCGUAGUCGAUGGGAAACAGGUUAAUAUUCCUGUACUUGGUGUUACUGCGAAGGGGGGACGGAGAAGGCUAUGUUGGCCGGGCGACGGUUGUCCCGGUUUAAGCGUGUAGGCUGGUUUUCCAGGCAAAUCCGGAAAAUCAAGGCUGAGGCGUGAUGACGAGGCACUACGGUGCUGAAGCAACAAAUGCCCUGCUUCCAGGAAAAGCCUCUAAGCAUCAGGUAACAUCAAAUCGUACCCCAAACCGACACAGGUGGUCAGGUAGAGAAUACCAAGGCGCUUGAGAGAACUCGGGUGAAGGAACUAGGCAAAAUGGUGCCGUAACUUCGGGAGAAGGCACGCUGAUAUGUAGGUGAAGCGACUUGCUCGUGGAGCUGAAAUCAGUCGAAGAUACCAGCUGGCUGCAACUGUUUAUUAAAAACACAGCACUGUGCAAACACGAAAGUGGACGUAUACGGUGUGACGCCUGCCCGGUGCCGGAAGGUUAAUUGAUGGGGUCAGCGCAAGCGAAGCUCUUGAUCGAAGCCCCGGUAAACGGCGGCCGUAACUAUAACGGUCCUAAGGUAGCGAAAUUCCUUGUCGGGUAAGUUCCGACCUGCACGAAUGGCGUAAUGAUGGCCAGGCUGUCUCCACCCGAGACUCAGUGAAAUUGAACUCGCUGUGAAGAUGCAGUGUACCCGCGGCAAGACGGAAAGACCCCGUGAACCUUUACUAUAGCUUGACACUGAACAUUGAGCCUUGAUGUGUAGGAUAGGUGGGAGGCUUUGAAGUGUGGACGCCAGUCUGCAUGGAGCCGACCUUGAAAUACCACCCUUUAAUGUUUGAUGUUCUAACGUUGACCCGUAAUCCGGGUUGCGGACAGUGUCUGGUGGGUAGUUUGACUGGGGCGGUCUCCUCCUAAAGAGUAACGGAGGAGCACGAAGGUUGGCUAAUCCUGGUCGGACAUCAGGAGGUUAGUGCAAUGGCAUAAGCCAGCUUGACUGCGAGCGUGACGGCGCGAGCAGGUGCGAAAGCAGGUCAUAGUGAUCCGGUGGUUCUGAAUGGAAGGGCCAUCGCUCAACGGAUAAAAGGUACUCCGGGGAUAACAGGCUGAUACCGCCCAAGAGUUCAUAUCGACGGCGGUGUUUGGCACCUCGAUGUCGGCUCAUCACAUCCUGGGGCUGAAGUAGGUCCCAAGGGUAUGGCUGUUCGCCAUUUAAAGUGGUACGCGAGCUGGGUUUAGAACGUCGUGAGACAGUUCGGUCCCUAUCUGCCGUGGGCGCUGGAGAACUGAGGGGGGCUGCUCCUAGUACGAGAGGACCGGAGUGGACGCAUCACUGGUGUUCGGGUUGUCAUGCCAAUGGCACUGCCCGGUAGCUAAAUGCGGAAGAGAUAAGUGCUGAAAGCAUCUAAGCACGAAACUUGCCCCGAGAUGAGUUCUCCCUGACUCCUUGAGAGUCCUGAAGGAACGUUGAAGACGACGACGUUGAUAGGCCGGGUGUGUAAGCGCAGCGAUGCGUUGAGCUAACCGGUACUAAUGAACCGUGAGGCUUAACCUUACAACGCCGAAG
rnacentral:rRNA from 1 species